AGAGUUUGAUCAUGGCUCAGAUUGAACGCUGGCGGCAGGCCUAACACAUGCAAGUCGAGCGGUAGCACAGAGAGCUUGCUCUCGGGUGACGAGCGGCGGACGGGUGAGUAAUGUCUGGGAAACUGCCUGAUGGAGGGGGAUAACUACUGGAAACGGUAGCUAAUACCGCAUAAUGUCGCAAGACCAAAGUGGGGGACCUUCGGGCCUCAUGCCAUCAGAUGUGCCCAGAUGGGAUUAGCUAGUAGGUGGGGUAAUGGCUCACCUAGGCGACGAUCCCUAGCUGGUCUGAGAGGAUGACCAGCCACACUGGAACUGAGACACGGUCCAGACUCCUACGGGAGGCAGCAGUGGGGAAUAUUGCACAAUGGGCGCAAGCCUGAUGCAGCCAUGCCGCGUGUGUGAAGAAGGCCUUCGGGUUGUAAAGCACUUUCAGCGGGGAGGAAGGCGAUAAGGUUAAUAACCUUGUCGAUUGACGUUACCCGCAGAAGAAGCACCGGCUAACUCCGUGCCAGCAGCCGCGGUAAUACGGAGGGUGCAAGCGUUAAUCGGAAUUACUGGGCGUAAAGCGCACGCAGGCGGUCUGUCAAGUCGGAUGUGAAAUCCCCGGGCUCAACCUGGGAACUGCAUUCGAAACUGGCAGGCUAGAGUCUUGUAGAGGGGGGUAGAAUUCCAGGUGUAGCGGUGAAAUGCGUAGAGAUCUGGAGGAAUACCGGUGGCGAAGGCGGCCCCCUGGACAAAGACUGACGCUCAGGUGCGAAAGCGUGGGGAGCAAACAGGAUUAGAUACCCUGGUAGUCCACGCCGUAAACGAUGUCGAUUUGGAGGUUGUGCCCUUGAGGCGUGGCUUCCGGAGCUAACGCGUUAAAUCGACCGCCUGGGGAGUACGGCCGCAAGGUUAAAACUCAAAUGAAUUGACGGGGGCCCGCACAAGCGGUGGAGCAUGUGGUUUAAUUCGAUGCAACGCGAAGAACCUUACCUGGUCUUGACAUCCACAGAACUUAGCAGAGAUGCUUUGGUGCCUUCGGGAACUGUGAGACAGGUGCUGCAUGGCUGUCGUCAGCUCGUGUUGUGAAAUGUUGGGUUAAGUCCCGCAACGAGCGCAACCCUUAUCCUUUGUUGCCAGCGGUUAGGCCGGGAACUCAAAGGAGACUGCCAGUGAUAAACUGGAGGAAGGUGGGGAUGACGUCAAGUCAUCAUGGCCCUUACGACCAGGGCUACACACGUGCUACAAUGGCAUAUACAAAGAGAAGCGACCUCGCGAGAGCAAGCGGACCUCAUAAAGUAUGUCGUAGUCCGGAUUGGAGUCUGCAACUCGACUCCAUGAAGUCGGAAUCGCUAGUAAUCGUAGAUCAGAAUGCUACGGUGAAUACGUUCCCGGGCCUUGUACACACCGCCCGUCACACCAUGGGAGUGGGUUGCAAAAGAAGUAGGUAGCUUAACCUUCGGGAGGGCGCUUACCACUUUGUGAUUCAUGACUGGGGUGAAGUCGUAACAAGGUAACCGUAGGGGAACCUGCGGUUGGAUCACCU
rnacentral:rRNA from 1 species